rnacentral:rRNA from 1 species
GACGAACGCUGGCGGCGUGCUUAACACAUGCAAGUCGAACGGAAAGGCCCUUCGGGGUGCUCGAGUGGCGAACGGGUGAGUAACACGUGGGUGAUCUGCCCUGCACUUUGGGAUAAGCCUGGGAAACUGGGUCUAAUACCGAAUAGGACUCCGGACUGCAUGGUCUGGGGUGGAAAGCUUUUGCGGUGUGGGAUGGGCCCGCGGCCUAUCAGCUUGUUGGUGGGGUGAUGGCCUACCAAGGCGACGACGGGUAGCCGGCCUGAGAGGGUGACCGGCCACACUGGGACUGAGAUACGGCCCAGACUCCUACGGGAGGCAGCAGUGGGGAAUAUUGCACAAUGGGCGCAAGCCUGAUGCAGCGACGCCGCGUGGGGGAUGACGGCCUUCGGGUUGUAAACCUCUUUCAGCACAGACGAAGCGU